AUUGAACGCUGGCGGCAUGCUUUACACAUGCAAGUCGAACGGUAACAGGCCGCUAGGUGCUGACGAGUGGCGAACGGGUGAGUAAUGCAUCGGAACGUGCCCAGUCGUGGGGGAUAACUACUCGAAAGAGUAGCUAAUACCGCAUACGAUCUAUGGAUGAAAGCGGGGGACCGUAAGGCCUCGCGCGAUUGGAGCGGCCGAUGUCAGAUUAGGUAGUUGGUGGGGUAAAGGUUCACCAAGCCAACGAUCUGUAGCUGGUCUGAGAGGACGAACAGCCACACUGGGACUGAGACACGGCCCAGACUCCUACGGGAGGCAGCAGUGGGGAAUUUUGGACAAUGGGCGCAAGCCUGAUCCAGCAAUGCCGCGUGCAGGAAGAAGGCCUUCGGGUUGUAAACUGCUUUUGUACGGAACGAAACGGCUCUGGUUAAUACCCGGGGCUAAUGACGGUACCGUAAGAAUAAGCACCGGCUAACUACGUG
rnacentral:rRNA from 1 species